UUGGCGAGUUUGAUCCUGGCUCAGAGCGAACGCUGGCGGCGUACUUAACACAUGCAAGUCGAACGGGGAGUGUCGGUGUAGCAAUACAUCGGCGCUUCGAGUGGCGCACGGGUGAGUAACACGUGGGUAACCUGCCCUUGAGUUCGGGAUACCCUCUCGAAAGGGAGGCUAAUACCGGAUACGUUCCUCGGGUCGCAAGACUUGGGGAGGAAAGGUAGCGCAAGCUGCCGCUCUUGGAGGGGCUCGCGGCCUAUCAGCUAGUUGGUGAGGUAACGGCUCACCAAGGCGACGACGGGUAGCUGGUCUGAGAGGACGACCAGCCACACGGGGACUGAGACACGGCCCCGACUCCUACGGGAGGCAGCAGUGGGGAAUUUUCCG
rnacentral:rRNA from 1 species